CCUACGGGAGGCAGCAGUGAGGAAUAUUGGACAAUGGGCGCAAGCCUGAUCCAGCCAUGCCGCGUGCAGGAAGAAGCAUCUAUGGUGUGUAAACUGCUUUUGUACAGGAAGAAACACUCCCUCGUGAGGGAGCUUGACGGUACUGUAAGAAUAAGGACCGGCUAACUCCGUGCCAGCAGCCGCGGUAAUACGGAGGGUCCGAGCGUUAUCCGGAAUCAUUGGGUUUAAAGGGUCCGUAGGCGGUUUAAUAAGUCAGUGGUGAAAUCUGGUCGCUCAACGAUCAAACGGCCAUUGAUACUGUUAGACUUGAAUUAUAAGGAAGUAACUAGAAUAUGUAGUGUAGCGGUGAAAUGCUUAGAUAUUACAUGGAAUACCAAUUGCGAAGGCAGGUUACUACUUAUGGAUUGACGCUGAUGGACGAAAGCGUGGGGAGCGAACAGGAUUAGAUACCCUGGUAGUCCACGCCGUAAACGAUGGAUACUAGCUGUUCGGAGCAAUCUGGAGUGGNGUAGACGAAGUAGAGUAAGUAAGUACCACCGUCGGGAGGUAACGGUUCGUCGAAGAAAGUAGAAACGUUAACGAAAGGAAAGUUAGACGGCGNGAGACGNGCGACGGACGACGACGAGGGAGGAGGAG
rnacentral:rRNA from 1 species